UUUUAUUAAUGUUGGGUGUAUGUCUUUUAUCUAAGAAUUCUGACUAACGAAACCAUGAAUGCAGGCUGUAUAAUAAGAGAUUAACAAACGGAGACAUCUGAACUGUAACAAUCUUCACAUCACAUUUAUUUUGACAGUAUCUGAACCGCAACGAUCUUUACAUCACAUUAUUGCAAAAUCGAAGAUAAUAUUUCCGGUUUGGUUCCCGCGCGCAAACUCCAAUAGAUUCCUCUCGGUCGUGACUCGGUGGCUUUAUGCAUCUCUAUGGCAAGGAACAAUGGUUGUUAGGAUCGCUAGAUUUUGGACACCCGUUGGGGCCCUUCUCCAACUGAGACAAUACGCGUCCACGCCAAUGUGUCGGCAAGGGCAGCGCGAUGUCGACGGAACCACCGGCGGAGGGUUCCCCGGCGUGCACUUGAUCCCCUUGCAACGGCCUCGCAGAUGCCCGGGUCCAUGGGUCAGACAUAGCCACCAGAACCAAGAGCAUGGCCACUGCAAGCUUCCCGGUCAUCGUGGACCUGUUCGAACUUCUAAGGCCGCGGUGUUGCUUAUCUUAACUGGGAGCUAAUAGAUCGAUCUAUCAAACUAGUUAGGCUUUUGAUUGCUGUGUAUGCGAGCUAUGGUCUU
rnacentral:lncRNA from 1 species